GGGCGCGUGGCGGAACGGCAGACGCUAGGGACUUAAAAUCCCUUGGGCUUUAGCCCGUGUGGGUUCGAUUCCCACCGCGCCUA
rnacentral:tRNA from 1 species